rnacentral:rRNA from 1 species
AACGAACGCUGGCGGCAUGCCUAACACAUGCAAGUCGAACGAGACCUUCGGGUCUAGUGGCGCACGGGUGCGUAACGCGUGGGAACCUGCCCUUAGGUUCGGAAUAACUCCCCGAAAGGGGUGCUAAUACCGGAUAAUGUCUUCGGACCAAAGAUUUAUCGCCUUUGGAUGGGCCCGCGUUGGAUUAGCUAGUUGGUAGGGUAAAAGCCUACCAAGGCGACGAUCCAUAGCUGGUCUGAGAGGAUGAUCAGCCACACUGGGACUGGGACACGGCCCAGACUCCUACGGGAGGCAGGAGUGGGGAAUAUUGGACAAUGGGCGAAAGCCUGAUCCAGCAAUGCCGCGUGAGUGAUGAAGGCCUUAGGGUUGUAAAGCUCUUUUACCCGGGAUGAUAAUGACAGUACCGGGAGAAUAAGCUCCGGCUAACUCCGUG